rnacentral:lncRNA from 1 species
CGAUUAACGUACGACUUGGACAUUUACAGAAACAAGAACAAGGUGGUGAAAUUGUUUGGGAAGCCAAUUGCAGACCUACUGGCAGGGGAAAGGAGAGUGCCGUAUGAAAGCCUUUGCACUCCGUACUGGAGGAAGAAUCCGAAAGAUGAUAAAGAAGCUGACCAAAUUGCAAGGGCAUUUAUACUGUGCUUGAUUGGCUCCUCAUUCCUCAAUGACAAGAGCCAAUACGUGAGUAUGCACUACGCCCCCUGUCUGGAAAUAGUCUCAGACAUUGGUAAAUACGACUGGGGCGGUGCGGCGUUGGCUUGCUUGUAUAGAUCAUUGGAUUCUUGUUCCAGGGGCAGGUCAUCAAGCAUGGGCGGGUAUUGGAGGGCAUGGGAGGUUAGUGUCAUCGAAUUGAAUAUCCGCAAAGUGGAACAUACAUUUGUGCUUACAUGACUAAUUUGUAAACUUGUCUUGUGUAGGUAUGGGCUUGCGAGUACCUAAAGCCGUUUGCUUUAUCAAGGCCCAGUGGGACCUUGAACACGUGGCCCAGAACAUUGAGGUGGGUUGGUGCAAAAUCAAAGCGGGACUUGCAACAUCACUUGGAACAUUUUAGAGUGAUGAUGCGACAUCUAACAAAUGAUCAGGUAUAAACCUCGACGUUUGUGUGAAAUUUUUUUAGCUUCAAAUGUAUGAUUCCCUGAGGUAACCAAUUUGUGUUGCAGGUUAAUUGGAACCCAUGGGGGACCAAUGAAUCCGACAUGCCGGAAGCCGUCAUAAAUAGUGUGCCGGCAACCCGUAAACGAAUCCUACUUGAGGGACCAGCUGGUUCAGCCUGGUUUUUGGGAGAGCGAGUCGCAAUGCAAAGUUUAGGCACCACAGAACCUCAAGUACCCAAAAUUCCACCGCCGACAAUGCUUUCUGAUUAUAAGCUAACUGAUGAGGCAGAAGUCAGGGAAGCACUGAAUGGGUACCCCGCUUCAGAAUGGCUUGCAAAUUCAUCCAACUAUGGCCACUACAGAGAUGAGUACAUAAGGUACCGCCACUAUGAGGACUUGCGUGAAGCGG